AAAAUUUAGAGGAAUGGGAUGAUGGGAAAUAGGCCCUCACGUGAUAGGCAAGCGGUAGAUUUUACUCGGCUCGCUUCGGUGGCUUCGGUUUCGUCUGCUGCGGGGUUUCGGAAUAUGCGCACAUACUCGGCGUGGCAAACGCGCGCCGAGGUUAGUGAAGGAAUUCGAGUGUGUGAAGCAGUUGAGUCUCGCCGCUUAAUUAGCAGACAGGCGCCAAGGCUGUUGCGAACGAAGGCGUCGGUUAACCGGCAUUGCGCCGAACAACCCGGGAGGACCACCUCAAGGACGACUGGUUGCGUUUCGGUGUGGUUUCAGGGAAACGAGGGAACCUUUCGCCCUGCAAACGUGUGAAGGCAACCAAGCCGCCCUUCCGACGACGAUUCGUUGCGUUUGACGACGUCUUCUGGGAAACAAUGAUGCUUUUCGCCCCCGCAAAAUGUGCACGCGAUUAAGCGAGCGUACAGGGUCCGAAGCGACUGUCCCUACGGGAAAAAAAUGCGUCCCGUCUUGUGCCCAAGGAUGGACUGGCGAGCCGGAGACUCCGAACAUAUUUAGGGCCGUGCCGGCCCGUAGCGCAGUCGACACUGUUGCUCGAGAUCUGCUCAAAGUCUUCGGCCUCUUAGCAGACCGGCGAGAACUCCCGUCAGCAGUAGGCGCACCUGCGUGAUGAAGUGCUGUGUGCCAGGAUGCCCUAAUCGAACAGAAAAUCGGCGCGAUGGCCUGUCCUUCCAUAGACGCUUGCAAAGGACGAUGCCACAGCAAUGAGUCAACCUUAAAGUGAAGCAGCUACAUCCACGGGAACAUAACAGCAUCAAGUUGAGCCAGUAAGUUGAUGCACAGCUGUAUGCAGCCAUAAUGCAUGUUUCCAGUUUGAUCAUACCUUUUUCAUGACUGUGGUAGAUGUCCCCCACCAUUCCUGAAGUGAAAUAUGCUUUUCUUAUAUUCAGGCAGGUCUCUCUCAAGCCACAAUGGAUAUGGACAUCUCUGAGGGCUUGUCUGAUUGAUGUGCUAGCAGAGGGUACUGCUACAUCUGCUAGCGCGUCCUUGACUGAUUCAGACAUCGCUGAUGAGCCUUCCGAAAUCCAACAUGUCCUGGCAUGUUUGAUUGUCGUAAUGAUCACAGAGCUUGCUUAAGACAUUUUCUCACAUGUGUGCCUUGGUUCAUUCAUGUUCUGAUCUGCUUUGCAAAAAUCUGGUGUUUCCCUGUAAUAUAUAUUUCGGAUUUCACCUUUAAAGUAAUUAUUGUAGUUUCAAAAAUGCAUAUGAGACUGUCAUACAGCUUUUUGUAAGACGUUUUCGACAGAGUUAAAAGAUCUAUUAGUAAUGCUCAGAAUGAAGAGAAAGAUAGAACUGUUCAACCUAUCAUCGGCUACAUUACAGCCCUUUUUUGACACAGGUGACAAGCAUACUGCGUUCAAAUUUCAUUGUUAACACUGGCAAAAGCAAGUGCUAAUGAAUGAAAGCCAUAUAUGCUACAUCAUAACCUCAUUUUAGUCAAUCUAGGAUAAGUACAAGAUAAGGAAAAUAAAACAAACUGCAGCAAAGCAGUGUUAUGUAAGAUGAAAAACCACUUUUUUUCAGUAAAGUUGGAAUAAGGAAAACACACUCCUUCUCUGAAUUAUACUUCAGCCAUGUCCUCUCAUUACACACAUAAUUAACACCCUUGCUAGGCUCCAACAUUUACAACAGUAAUAAAAUUUAUAACAUGCCAACUGUGCUGGUAAGCUUUAUCAACAUUUUUUGGGACAGUAGAUAAAAAAUACAGUAUAUAGCCACAGCCACUGAUCUCCCUAACAAUGUCCUGCUUGCUGGUCAUUAUUGUGCUUAAAUUUUAAAUGAAGCCAAUGGUGUCGCUAUUAGUCCCGGGUUUUAGCUUCAACUGUGCAUCUGGUGUUUCGUUUGCACGGUCAGCAAUUUCAAGUUAUGUUGCAGUAAGCAGUCCCUCCUCAUUGCACUUGGUGUAUUUUGUCCAGUCUCCCAGUCCAAGGCCCUCCAGGACGCUCAAGGGUGAAGCUUCUGCAGCACUGCCUACACACAACCCAGCGACACCUCGAACAGCAAGGCAUACUAUGCCACAGCCAGCAGAAGACGCACCUGAAAAGGCCUUUCUGAGGCAUGAAGUAUGGCGUUACACAAUUACAAACUGCGACCAAGAAGAAGAUGAAGACUCUACGGCAAUCCCAUCAACAGCUUUUUCAAAAGGUUGCUCAUCUCGAAAAUGUCAUAGAAGAUUUAUCUGACAAUCGCAUUCUAGGAAAUGAGGAUGUCGCCAUAUUGCAGAGUCUUGGUGGGGCAAAAAAAGACUUGCUCAUGCGUCAACUGCCACAUAAGUCUGGUGCCAGCAAUGUCACCCGCUUACUCGCCAGAGCUCAGGCCAUUUGCACUGACUUUGCAUUUUUAUUCCCCUAGAGCAUACAGAUAUGUACGAGCUGUUUUCAACACAUGCCUCCCGCAUCCAAAGACACUGUGUAAAUGAUAUCAAUCCAUUGAUAGGGCUGCUGACUUUUCAAAAGAGGCAAUGACUGCAUUGGCUAUCAAGGUAAAGCACGGCUCUCCACAUUAUGCAAUCUGGUUGUGGAUGAGAUGGCCAUUCAAAGUAGUGUGGGAUGGGAAAAGCUUCCAUGGAUAUGUUGACAUGGGCAUUGAUGUCAAUGAUGACAGCUUUCCAGUUGCCUAAGAUGCAUUUGUUUUAAUGCUUGUUGCAAUCAAUGGCAGAUGGAAGCUGCCGAUUGGCUACUUUCUAGUGCAUGGCCUUGGUGGUGAGCAGAGGCGCAAUUUGGUGCUGCAAGCUGCUAGCUUCACUCACGAAAAAGGUGCACACAUUGUGAGUUUGACCUGCGAUGGCGCUGCAGCGAAUUUGUCAUUGCUGCACAGCCUUGGCUGCAAGAUGGACCUGACUGAGCUGGAUGCUUCUUUUCCACAUCCAGUGACAAAAAAAGCUUUUCUUUGCCAUGUUGGAUCCCUGUCACAUGUUGAAGCUACUGCGGCACACCCUGUUUGAUAAAAAGGCUAUUGUGAUACGAACAAACAGUUCAUAUUGUUGAAACACAUUGAUGAGCUGCAUGAAAUCCAGUACACAGAGGGCCUACAUUUGGCAAACAAACUUAGACAAGCACAUAUUACCUGGAAAAACCAGCCCAUGAAAGUCUCAUUGUUGGCUCAAACGUUUAGUCAAUCGGUAGCAGAUGCUCUUAGUGACUGCAGAGCUCAAAAAAAUUCAAAAUUUUCAAAUUCCUUGCCAACAGAAGAGUUUAUCAGACAUGUCAACAACGCAUUUGACAUUUUAAAUUCAAGACAUCCAAGGCAAGAAGAAUAGAAAGGACCGCUGUGUCCUGAAAAUGUGGCUCCUGUCACUGCGUAUGUCAAAGAACUUAUGGCCUACUUUUGCUCGCUUAGGGAGUCUGCAGCUGGUAAACUAAUGACAGGGACCAACCAAAAGACAGGCUUCAUUCGCUUUGUGGUGUGCUUAGACAACCGUCUAUACAACCACUUGGUUACAGAAAAUGGCCUAUUGGCAUAUCUUCCGACUUCCAAGCUCAGUCAGGACCACCUUGAGUUACUUUUUGCUGCAAUAAAAUCAUUUGGGGGCUGCAAUGACAACCCAACAGCAAAGCAGUUUGCAGCAGCAUUGAAGCGUCUGAUAGUUCGUAAUGAGGUCAAGGACAUUGAUGGCGGAAAUUGCUUUCUAUUGGAACACAUCGAAAUUCUCUUUGUACGCUCCUCUGAAAAAACCAUACUCCAUCGAUGUAAUUAACCUCACUGCCCCUCAGAGAAGCCCUGCAGCCAGUGAACCACUCACAGAAGCAAUUUUACAGGAUCAUGGUUACUCUGCUGACCCAGGCAGGGUGUCUGAGCUUGGGUGCCUGCGGCUCGCAGUACUGGAAGAAUUGCUACACAAGUUUUCUCGUGGGUGAAUUAUGUUCAUGAUGGCCCACACAAUUAAUUCCUUUAUCCAUCAACUUCAGCUGUCCCACCAGGUUUUAUGUUAAGGCAUUUGUUUUUUGAGUGACUUUGUAAAGUGCAUAUAUUGUUCAAGAGCGUUGUAUGCAGAUGUCAAACUUUUAUAGAGGGAAAAUGUGAUACCUUAUUGUAAAUUCUGCAAGUACAUGUUUGUUGUCUUGCUGAAUGCUGUAGCUUGAAUCACCUGCAUGCAAAUUAUGCUUAAACAAUUGUUCUGUUCAGCCCAAGCUAAACAGUGUGGACAAUGACGGUAGGUUAGCUGGCCUACCUUUCACUAGAGCAAACUGUGUGAUGACAUGGACAUGCUGUGAAUGCUCUCAAUGGAUUAUGUGUGAGCUAGGUAUACGCUUGAGGAUGACAAUGUUUUUUUAAUGUUUAUCCUGUAUGUCUUUUACCUGACCUUUGUGGAAAUUUGCCACUGCCACCUGGAAUACCGUUGGUGUUACUAUUUUUUAAAUAAUUUAAUGUGCUCACUCUGUUCACUUGCUUUACAAUAGCCUUUUAUGAUGCCAGAUUCACUGUAACCACAAACAUUUGGUGUAUACCACUCAAUGAGUGUUUUAAAUACCGUGAAAUAUUCAUUCAUUUGAGGUUCACAACGUAAUAGAGCCGUCGCGUCCUAAUUUUGCGGUGUGUUGGCUCAGCUUCGACGGUGCUAACUUUUUUGUAGGUAUGUGAUACAACAUAAGCUUUGUUGUACAUUUUACUUGCAGCAAAAUGCAUUGUAUUUUAAUGUUGACAUACUUAGUUUGUGGGUCUGACCUCACAUCAAUUCUUUCAACUUUGACUUUGUGAACUACCACUCUUUUUUUAAUUUCUGCAUAUGUAUUGCUUACUUUUCUGACAAGCACAAUCACCGAAGCCUUUCGAUAUUUGUGAGGACAGCGCAGAUAUAAAUAUUAUACAAUUAUAGCCCUGUAUUGAAGGCGUUGCAUACAAGGCAUUGUAAGCAAAACUGCAGCUACAUUCAAGGACAGCUGAUCCCAUUGACCAGUUUUAUUAAAGGUAUCAAUACUACGUGUGAUAUAGUUUACUUUGUAUAACAUUAUUAUACAAAUGCCCUGUGGCAUACAAGUAUGCUAAUACUGAUACCGAAGAGCAGUGGCACAAUAAGUUUUCCUACUUGCUGUUUAUAAUUUUCUUUUGUGUAUUAUCUUUGCAAUGUACUUCAUUUAAAUUAUAAAUGUGGCUUCCUUCUGUAUUUGUGUGAAAUCUUCUGGCUUCUAUAGGUGCAAUAAACACUGAAUAAAGAAUGAAACAAUUACUGUUGUCAUAAAAAUGUGCUUUCCAUAGUACAAGUACACCAGCAACACAAUGAAUCCACAAGUGCAAAUGAAUGCUGCCAUUUUUCCCUUGCCGCUAUGUAUUCAGUUUUCAUGCCGUUUCACACUAGCAGAGGAAGAAGGGUCCCCCUGGCAGUGUUUGAUUCUAGGACAUAAUUAUGCUGUGGGGCUAUACUCGCAUUCGGAAACAGCUGAAUAAACUCUAGAUAAUGCACAAAUUCCGUCCAUUUGCUUUAUUAUAUAACGAAAAUGGAUCCCCGAGGCGCGUCUCAACAGCGUCGUCGCACCACACAAUCUUGCAAAAUAGUACACGUAAAUCUGAAUAAACGGCGAUCACUUCGGCCUUUAGGAUGCAGGCUAAUGCUAUUUAUUUCUCUCAAAAUGAAACAUGCCCACCAGAGCCUUUUAUUAAGCGAAAAUGCGACAAAAAAGUGUCCUUCAAAACAUCUCGUUUCUUCCUAGGUGCAAGACAGCGUGACAAAAAUUAUUUCUCUCAAAAUAAAACACGCAGACCAGCCUUUUAUUAAGCGAAAAUGCGACAAAAAAAGUGUCCCUCAAAACAUCUCGUUUCUUUCUAGGUGCAAGACAGCGGGACGAAAAAUUAGCAAGAUAAUACGCACC